GCCAAAUAAAUACAUUGUGACAGAUGAUUCCAAAAGUACAGAACUCCACUCUCAGUGAAUACAACAAGUUGAAGUCGGACUGAACUCAAGUGGACGGAUAAAGAAAAAAUUACCGAGGCCGCUGCCGGAGUUGCCAUAGCAGUUAGAAACUCCGCCUGAAAACACGGUUAGAAAGUCAUCCAGGUUUUCUUAGCCUCUGUAGCGCGCGAGAAUGAAAUUCCACCGCUAUUAGCAGAGAAUUGCGCGCCGGUGUCAAUUGAAGACAUAGCCUGCACUAAAUUAUUCUAAUUUGUUCUACAGGUAAAAUGGAGGAGGCCUAGACCCAAUUAUAACAGAACCAAAUUGCAGCGUGCAUCGGACAUAAGGCAAACCGUAUCUCCAAAUUUGAAUAGAGCAAUGCCUAUAACAAUUGAGAGCUCAAUUGUAUCCCCAGUACUCCUACCAAGGACAUGUUUGACUAAGCUAGACACCACAAGAGCUUUUAUGUUGGGGAAUAAGUUCUUGACAACCGCAGUAACUCUCUCUUCCAAGGCAAGUUGUAUCUCCUGCACACUUGUCCGAUUGAAAUUGAGUCCAAAUGUUGGUGGUUCUGUUGAGAAGGAUAAAAAAGGGAAGAAAAUAGAACACCACUUUUGGAAAAGAAGAGAUUCAGCCCAGUCAGGCCAAAAGGCACUCACUCUUGUCAGAACUAUCUGUGAACUCCCUAAUGAGAAAGAGGCUGUUUACGGGGCAUUAGACAAAUGGACGGCUUGGGAAACAGAGUUCCCGUUGGUUGCAGUGGCUAAGGCUUUAAAACUCUUAAGGAAAAGGGGUCAGUGGGUUCGUGUAAUUCAAUUAGCCAAGUGGAUGUUGAGCAAAGGACAAGGAGCAACAAUGGGAACAUACGACACCCUUCUUCUGGCAUUUGAUAUGGAUCAGAGAGUAGAUGAGGCAGAAUCUCUGUGGAAUAUGAUUGUACACGCCCACAUGCGCUCUGUCUCAAAGAAACUGUUUUCUAGGAUGAUUUCAUUGUAUGAUCAUCAUGAUCUGCCAGAAAAGAUUGUAGAGUUCAGGUAUUUGCUGACAUGGAGGAGUUGCGGGUGAAACCCGACGAAGAUACAGUCAGGAAAGUGACAAGUGCCUUAAGAAAGCUAGGCCAAGAAGAGAAAAGGAAAUUGGUAAUAAAACGACAUGGGCUUAAAUGGAAGUAUAUUCACUUUAACGGUGAACGGGUCAGAGUUAGAACAAGUGUAUGGGAAGAAGACUAACUAUGAAUGACAAUGAAACAGUUCACAGGGUUAAUGAUCUUUCGUUAAAGUUGAAUCGAUUGGAACUAGGAAGUACCCGAGAACUAGAAGGUUAAAGCUCAAAGGUUAUACCAUUUUUGCAUCAUAGACUAACAAAUUUGAGUCAUUGUCAUGUACUUGGUUCUGGUUUAGCAACCUAUCAACCAUGAAUUGAACUACAUUUGGGGGGCACAGCACCCAAAGUUAAAAGUAGUCGUUUUGUAUUUUUGUAUCAUAUGUUAGGCAUUGAGAGAAUUUGAUGAACUUGAAAAAAUUUAUGUAACAAUUUUUUUUGUCAAAUAAGAAAUUGAUUAGUCUAA